AUUGAACGCUGGCGGCAGGCCUAACACAUGCAAGUCGAACGAGGGGCGGACGGGUGAGUAAUGUCUGGGAAAAGGCCUGAUGGAGGGGGAAAACUACUGGAAAAGGUAGCUAAUAACGCAUACCAGCGGAUGUGCCCAGAUGGGAUUAGCUUGUUGGUGGGGUAACGGCUCACCAAGGCGACGAUCCCUAGCUGGUCUGAGAGGAUGACCAGCCACACUUGAACUGAGACACUGUCCAGACUCCUACGGGAGGCAGCAGUGGGGAGUAUUGCACAAUGGGCGCAAGCCUGAUGCAGCCAUGCCGCGUGUAUGAAGAAGGCCUUCGGGUUGUAAAGUACUUUCAGCGGGGAGGCGUUACCCGCAGAAGAAGCACCGGCUAACUCCGUGCCAGCCGCCGCGGUAAUAC
rnacentral:rRNA from 1 species